rnacentral:rRNA from 1 species
UACGUAGGGUGCAAGCGUUAAUCGGAAUUACUGGGCGUAAAGCGUGCGCAGGCGGUUUUGUAAGUCUGUUGUGAAAUCCCCGGGCUCAACCUGGGGAAUGGCAAUGGAGACUGCAAGGCUAGAGUUUGGCAGAGGGGGGUAGAAUUCCACGUGUAGCAGUGAAAUGCGUAGAUAUGUGGAGGAACACCGAUGGCGAAGGCAGCCCCCCUGGGUCAAAAACUGACGCUCAUGCACGAAAGCGUGGGGAGCAAACAGG